rfam:Oryza meridionalis cultivar OR44 (W2112) chromosome 6, whole genome shotgun sequence.
AAUACGUGCAGUUUUUUAUAUCCAAUGUUUAAUCGUUUGUUUUAUUUAAACUUUUUUAUGAUUUGUAUUUUUAUUGUUACCAGAUGAUAAAACAUGAAUAAUACUUUAUGUGUGACUAUUUUUUUAUAAAUUCUUCAAAUAAGACGGACGGUCAUACGCUGGACACGGAUUCUCACAACUGCACUUAUU